GUGGUCGGCGAAAGCGGAAGUGACACACAACGGGGCCAUGGGCGUCGCCUUACAGGGGGCGUGGCCGCUGUGCAUUUGACCCUGACCGGGAGGCGUGGCUCUUAGCUGGAGUUAUGAAGGGUACCGCCGUCUCCCUGGUAACACCUCGGUACUUGGAUGUGGCUUUUCAUCGUCUCCUCUUACGCCUGCGGCAGAUCGAGGGGCCCUCGGCCUGAGAAAUGCCCACUUCCUUCGCGGUUGUCCUUUCACAGGUGGUCAGGGGGCAGGCUGGACAGCGGCGUCCGCACUGGAGUCGCCGCAAUGAAAGGUCCUCUGCGAGUGUGCAGAACCUCUUUAGGCCUCUUGGACCAGGCUGGCUACACGGGGGACUGCCUGGUUCAACACCCCUACCCAUCGUGACCCCUGGCCUGUCUGGUUGGCACCAUCUCAGGUGGCAGUGCGAUCCAAAGAGUGCCCAGGAGAUUGGAGUUUAAUGAUGAUCUAGGUACCAGGACUCGCUUGUUGGACCAACAUGGGCUCUGGACCAUGGCAAUACCUGCUGUGCUGAGUCUUGUUCCUUCUGUCUUUGAGUUCGUCAACGGUGGCCCACUUGCAGAGUGGGGCAUCUAAUAAAAAUGCCCUUAUCCCUCUCC